rnacentral:lncRNA from 1 species
GAGGGGAGGGGCGGGGCGGGGCGGGGAGCCCGCGGGGGCGCUGCUGCCUCCGAGGGCGGACGCGGGUCCCCGGGUCGGGCCUCCCGGGAGCCGAGCCCUGCGGGGGCAGGAGGCCGGGUCCGGAUGCUGGGGCCCCGGCUCUGACGGCCGCCCUGCUGCUGGUCCAGCCCGGCCUCUCCGAGCUGAGAAGGCCCCGCGGGCCAAGCAUCCCCCGUGGGGGCCGAGGCCGCGCCCCAGGAAAUCCGCUGAGGCGCCCGACGCCCAGGGGCCAGGGGCCAGGGGCCUGCCAGCCUCUCCUCUGGGGGGCCUCGAGGUGUACACGCGAGCUGCAGCCUCGCCCCCACAGAAAGCAGCAUGGCCAGGCCGCGGAAAGAACAUGGAACUGGCUGGGCCCGCGUGGCGCAGGUGAACGCGCUCUCUCUGACAUCACCCGCGAGUCUGAAACAGCAGACGGGCUUCUGUGCUUCCUCCUUUCGGGCCCACUUUGAACGUAGCCCGCAUGCGCCUGCCUCCUGUCAGCGUUGGUCGUGGGGACCCCGUCUGGAAAGCGGCUGUGGUAAAGGGCCCCGCGGGGGCUCUGGGUGCGGCAAGAUCAUCAUUAAGGGGCUGGGGGGGCAGCCCAGGUGGCUCGGCGGUUUGGCACCACCUUCAGCCAGGGCGUGAUUCUGGGGACUCGGGAUCGAGUCCCAUGUCGGGCUCCCUGCCUGGGGCCUGCUUCUCCCUCUGCCUGGGUCUCUGCCUCUCUCUGUCUCUCUCUCUCUCUGUCUCUCAUGAAUAAAUAAAUAAAAUAUUUUUUAAAAAGGGGGCCGAGCGGGGACUCCACUGCUCUCCCCACCCCGACCUAGGAAAGGCCAACAAAAUCCCAGCCAACCCAUAAACCCCAAACAGCUGUGGGUUUCAGGGAGGAGAUGGGCGGGAAGCGCCCCCGAGUCCCCUUACCCCUAGGGGAGGCAGGCCCAUCUCCCGGGAGAGACCCCAGGUCAGAGCAGGGCUGCCCCCUGGUGCCCCACGCCAGCCCACCGGCACACGCAGGCACCCCGGUUCACUUUGUGCAACUGGGGUCCUGGUCCGCGCAGCCAGGCCUCCCCUCGGGGGAGCGGGGACGCAGACACUCCCAUCUUUGAAGUAGAGGCUGAGGUUUAGGACGCAGCGACUUGCCCGGGGUCCCCUGGCUUCUAAAUCUGCAAUGCUGCAUCUCCCACUGCUGAGGGGGGGCAUCCCCGCGUCAGGGGCCGCAAUGGGAGAUGUCGCCUGGUGCCACAGACAAGUCAGAGUUGUGUCCCUCUCUGGGUGGUGUGAGCUCUGGAGGGGAAACAGAAGACGCGGGGUGGGGGGUGGGGGGUUGUAGCCCGGAGCGGAAACCAGCAGUUUCAUCCUCUGGGAACAGGGCUGUACCUUGUGACCAUGUGACACCCCCCCCCCAGCCACCUCUGAUUGGCCCAGAGCAAGGUCCUCCUCGCGGUUGCUGAGCAGGUGUCUGCUUGUGUCAGUGUGACCCAGAUAGGGGUCUUUCGCUCUCGCAUGGCUCCUCGGGCCCCGAGACACACAGGAGGCGAACAAGGGCCCGGUGCACGCAGGCCUCCUGGGCCCCUCUAUGGCUAAAACCCUGGAAGUCUCAGCAAGCCUGAGCAGGGGACAUGCAGUGAGCCACCUGUCACCAGAGAUGCCAGGUGAGGAGCUCCUUCACCCCACACCCAGGGGCCCAAGGCUGGGGUGAGGUAGAGAGCUGAGUAGUGUCGCCCCCAAAACUCACAUACACCCGGAACCUUAACACCGGAGCUUAUUUGGAAAUAGGGUCUUUGCAGACGUGUUUUUUAUUCUUUUUUUUUCUAAUAUUUUAUUUAUUCAGGAGAGACACACAGAGAGAGGCAGAGACACAGGCAGAGGGAGAAGCAGGCUCCGUGCGGGGAGCCCAACGUGGACUCGAACCCAGGACCCCGGGGUCACGCCCUGGGCCCAAGGCAGACGCUCAACCGCUGAGCCCCCGGGCGUCCCUGCAGCCGUGUUAGACCUCAGACGAGGUC